UACGUAGGGUGCAAGCGUUGUCCGGAAUUAUUGGGCGUAAAGAGCUCGUAGGCGGUUUGUCGCGUCGGCCGUGAAAACUUGGGGCUUAACUCCAAGCUUGCGGUCGAUACGGGCAGACUUGAGUUCGGCAGGGGAGACUGGAAUUCCUGGUGUAGCGGUGAAAUGCGCAGAUAUCAGGAGGAACACCGGUGGCGAAGGCGGGUCUCUGGGCCGACACUGACGCUGAGGAGCGAAAGCGUGGGGAGCGAACAGG
rnacentral:rRNA from 2 species